rnacentral:rRNA from 1 species
AUUGAACGCUGGCGGCAGGCCUAACACAUGCAAGUCGCACGAGUGGCGGACGGGUGAGUAAUGUCUGGGAAACUGCCCGAUGGCGGGGGAUAACUACUGGAAACGGUAGCUAAUACCGCAUACCAUCGGAUGUGCCCAGAUGGGAUUAGCUAGUAGGUGGGGUAACGGCUCACCGAGGCGACGCUCCCUAGCUGGUCUGAUAGGAUGACCAGGCACACUGGAACUGGGAAACGGUCGAGACUCCUGCGGGAGGCAGCAGUGGGGAAUAGUGCACAAUGGGCGCAAGCCUGAUGCAGCCAUGCCGCGUGUAUGAAGAAGGCCGUCGGGUUGUAAAGUACUUUCAGCGGGGAGGCGUUACUCGCAGAAGAAGCACCGGCUAACUCCGUGCCAGCAGCCGCGGUAAUAC